GCGGCGGCUCCUUGACCCCGGUGCCGUCCGUGCCGGUGGUGCGGGCAUGGUGGUGUCCUGGGCGCUGCCCGCGCCCCUCAGCCCGGCGCAGCUGAAGCGCCUGGAGCAGCACCGCUACAGCGCGGCCGGGCGCUCGCUGCUGGAGCCGUGGCUGCAGCCCUACUGGGGCUGGCUGGUGGAGCGGGUCCCGCGGGGGCUGGCGCCCAACGCCAUCACCUUGGGCGGCCUCCUGCUGAAUUGCCUGACGGUGCUGCCGCUCAUCGCCUGCUGCCCCAGCGCCACUGAGCAGGCACCUUUUUGGGCAUACAUCCUGGGUGCACUAGGACUUUUUAUCUACCAGUCUCUGGAUGCCAUUGAUGGGAAGCAAGCCAGAAGAACAAACAGUAGUUCUCCUCUUGGAGAACUCUUUGAUCAUGGUUGCGACUCUAUUUCUACAGUAUUUGUUGUCCUUGGAUCCUGCAUAGCAAUCCGACUAGGAACAAAUCCUGACUGGUUGUUUUUCUGUUGUUUUGUGGGACUGUUCAUGUUCUAUUCUGCUCACUGGCAGACAUACGUAUCAGGCAUACUAAGGUUUGGAAAAAUUGAUGUAACUGAAGUUCAGAUUGCCAUAACAGUGCUGCUCUUGAUAUCUGGCUAUGGAGGAGCAGGAAUAUGGGACUAUAAGGUCCCUUUGCUGGGCUUAGAACUGAAGUUCUUUGCAGUUAUUGGCAUCCUGUGUGGAACAGCACUUUCUUUUUUCAAUUACUUCCGUGUCAUCUUUGGUGGAGGGGUUGGAAAGAAUGGAUCUACAAUAGCAGGAACAAGUGUUCUUUCACCAGGCCUGCACAUUGGACUGCUUAUCACACUGGCCAUAACAAUUUAUAAAAAGUCUACAACUCGGCUAUUUGAAAAACAUUCUUGCCUGUAUGUCUUGACAUUUGGGCUUGUGAAUGCCAAAAUCUCACAGAAGUUGGUGGUGGCUCACAUGACAAAAAGUGAAAUUUGUCUUCAGGACUCUGCAUUUAUUGGGCCAGGACUUCUGUUUUUGGACCAGUACUUCAAUAGUUUCAUUGAUGAAUAUAUUGUUCUGUGGAUAGCACUGUUGAUAUCCUUGUUUGAUAUGCUGAGAUAUGCCAGUGGUGUGUGCCUACAGAUUGCUGCUCAUCUUCAUAUACAUGUCUUCAGAAUUUCAUCUCAUCAAGCUCCUGAGCAGGUUCAAAACCAUAAUGACUGAUUAAAAAGGCAAGGACAAGAGAAGAAGCAGUUAGGGCAAUGAAGCAGCCUCUUUGUGUUUGGGAAGAGAGAUUAAGCUUUUGAAGAAAACAGUUUUAUGAGAAAAUUCACUGUUUCAGACAUUACAAGAUGUUAGAAUUAGUAGAUACAAAUUCUGCAGAUGCUGUUGUACUUUAGAACCAGUAUGUAUUUUCCUGUGUUUCAGACCACAAAUGCUACAUUUGAAAAUAUUGCCAUUUCCUGUAAGGUAACUUUAAUUCUGCAAUUCUCUUCUGGUGAAUGUAGACGCAAACCAAGGUGCUACCAACCAGAAUUCGAAGAGGAAGCUCCUGUUUCCCUAACCCAAUUGUCUAAUCUCAUAGCAUUAGUUUCUAAAAUUUUGUUGGAACUGCUCUGAAGUGGUUGUCAGAUGUACCAAUGAAUUCAAUCCUGCAUUAAGACUGGUAAAAUGAGGCAGCCACGAGGUUAAAAUCACUCAAUCUCUCUUCUGGCACUUCUAAGGAACAAGCUGUUGGAUCAGUAGAUAAAGGAGGUACAAGUUGCUCUUCCACUGAGCCAUCAGAAUAACAUGGACUGAAGAGACUUGCGAACAGUUGCCAUCUCCUGCUGUUGCUGUCACAAGAAAAGGAGAUAAUGCUGAACAAAUGCUGUAUCAAUAUGAUUCCUUUGAAUUAAAUGAAUGUCAAAUGACUUUUAA